AUAUGAUUGGGGGAUAUUUUCUCCCAUUCUGAGGGUUUUUUCACUUUCUUGGGAGCUGAAUUUUAAAGGCUGCAGGAGAUAUCCUUUAUUGAGAUUUUAUUUGUGAACUAAGAGUCCACAAUAACCCCAAAAUGGGUUUUCAUGACCGUGAGAGCUCGAGGUUAAGUGCAAGAAUUCCUCAACCUUAACUUUCCAGGAUGAAAGGCGCUCAGGCGCACUGGGGAUGGUCUCAACUCUGCCUGCAACUGAUCAACUGAGAACUGUGUUCACACAAAUAGCGCUAAUGAUUUUCAACAUAUAAGAUCUUAUUAGCUGUUUUGACCAAGACAAAAAUGUUUCGCUACCAAACACCUUGGUCUAGAGGACGCAGAGUCACCUCAGCUCACAAGGAAGCCACUUUCCAUUAACUCAACCCU
rnacentral:lncRNA from 1 species